rnacentral:rRNA from 1 species
UACGAAGGGUGCAAGCGUUACUCGGAAUUACUGGGCGUAAAGCGUGCGUAGGUGGUGAGUUAAGUCUGUCGUGAAAGCCCCGGGCUCAACCUGGGAAUGGCGAUGGAUACUGGCUCGCUAGAGUGCGGUAGAGGAGAGUGGAAUUCCCGGUGUAGCAGUGAAAUGCGUAGAGAUCGGGAGGAACAUCAGUGGCGAAGGCGGCAUCCUGGACCAACACUGACGCUGAGGAGCGAAAGCCAGGGGAGCAAACGGG